CUUCCUCACUAGCCCCUUGCCUAUUGUCAUUCACACAGCAAACCUUCUGGGCCAAUCCAUCUGACUGGCUGUGCAGGGGAUGGGGCAGCCUGGAUAAUUGAUGGACUCAAUCUGACCAGGCACAGGUGGCACGGAGACGGCAUACAGCAGCUUCUCGGGUUUGCCAGUGCCAUCUGUUGCCAUAAGAACAUCUGUCGUCAAGGUCACCCUGUCACCCUCUGUUAAAGUUACAGGUUUGGAACUGAAUGACGGUUUGGCAGUGAUUAAGGGUAGUUUUGCCUCUACUUUUUCUUCCAGUUUGGGCCACCAGGAGGAUGUUUCUUUCAUCAUCUCUUCCUGAUCUUCUGUUCCAAGUCUCAUAAAACAGGUAAUAUAAGCACAGACCAAAAAUUCAAGGAAAAGAGUCAUAAAUACUGAUUUUGAUGCUCUGGAUUUCAAAAUUGUUUAGGGACUCAUACUUGAAUUUAUACUCUAAAUAGAGCAAAGUCUCAAUUACUUGGCUUCAUGAGGUUCACAAAAAUUAUUUUUCUUUAUUAGCAAAGUUAGGUCCUUUUAGUGCUAGAACUCUUUAACAUGAUCACAUUAAUUUCAAGGAGACUUUUCC
rnacentral:lncRNA from 1 species